rnacentral:tRNA from 2 species
GCCCCCUUAGCUCAGUUUGGUUUAGAGUCGCCGAUUUGUAAUCGGCAGGUCGUCGGUUCGAGUCCGACAGGGGGCU